rnacentral:rRNA from 2 species
UUAAGUUAUUAAGGGCGCACGGUGGAUGCCUUGGCACUAGAAGCCGAUGAAGGACGUUACUAACGACGAUAUGCUUUGGGGAGCUGUAAGUAAGCUUUGAUCCAGAGAUUUCCGAAUGGGGAAACCCAGCAUGAGUUAUGUCAUGUUAUCGAUAUGUGAAUACAUAGCAUAUCAGAAGGCACACCCGGAGAACUGAAACAUCUUAGUACCCGGAGGAAGAGAAAGAAAAUUCGAUUCCCUUAGUAGCGGCGAGCGAAACGGGAAGAGCCCAAACCAACAAGCUUGCUUGUUGGGGUUGUAGGACACUCUAUACGGAGUUACAAAGGACGACAUUAGACGAAUCAUCUGGAAAGAUGAAUCAAAGAAGGUAAUAAUCCUGUAGUCGAAAAUGUUGUCUCUCUUGAGUGGAUCCUGAGUACGACGGAACACGUGAAAUUCCGUCGGAAUCUGGGAGGACCAUCUCCUAAGGCUAAAUACUCUCUAGUGACCGAUAGUGAACCAGUACCGUGAGGGAAAGGUGAAAAGCACCCCGGAAGGGGAGUGAAAUAGAACCUGAAACCGUGUGCUUACAAGUAGUCAGAGCCCGUUAAUGGGUGAUGGCGUGCCUUUUGUAGAAUGAACCGGCGAGUUACGAUUUGAUGCAAGGUUAAGCAGUAAAUGUGGAGCCGUAGCGAAAGCGAGUCUGAAUAGGGCGUUUAGUAUUUGGUCGUAGACCCGAAACCAGGUGAUCUACCCUUGGUCAGGUUGAAGUUCAGGUAACACUGAAUGGAGGACCGAACCGACUUACGUUGAAAAGUGAGCGGAUGAACUGAGGGUAGCGGAGAAAUUCCAAUCGAACCUGGAAAUAGCUGGUUCUCUCCGAAAUAGCUUUAGGGCUAGCCUCAAGUGAUGAUUAUUGGAGGUAGAGCACUGUUUGGACGAGGGGCCCCUCUCGGGUUACCGAAUUCAGACAAACUCCGAAUGCCAAUUAAUUUAACUUGGGAGUCAGAACAUGGGUGAUAAGGUCCGUGUUCGAAAGGGAAACAGCCCAGACCACCAGCUAAGGUCCCAAAAUAUAUGUUAAGUGGAAAAGGAUGUGGCGUUGCCCAGACAACUAGGAUGUUGGCUUAGAAGCAGCCAUCAUUUAAAGAGUGCGUAAUAGCUCACUAGUCGAGUGACACUGCGCCGAAAAUGUACCGGGGCUAAACAUAUUACCGAAGCUGUGGAUUGUCCUUUGGACAAUGGUAGGAGAGCGUUCUAAGGGCGUUGAAGCAUGAUCGUAAGGACAUGUGGAGCGCUUAGAAGUGAGAAUGCCGGUGUGAGUAGCGAAAGACGGGUGAGAAUCCCGUCCACCGAUUGACUAAGGUUUCCAGAGGAAGGCUCGUCCGCUCUGGGUUAGUCGGGUCCUAAGCUGAGGCCGACAGGCGUAGGCGAUGGAUAACAGGUUGAUAUUCCUGUACCACCUAUAAUCGUUUUAAUCGAUGGGGGGACGCAGUAGGAUAGGCGAAGCGUGCGAUUGGAUUGCACGUCUAAGCAGUAAGGCUGAGUAUUAGGCAAAUCCGGUACUCGUUAAGGCUGAGCUGUGAUGGGGAGAAGACAUUGAGUCUUCGAGUCGUUGAUUUCACACUGCCGAGAAAAGCCUCUAGAUAGAAAAUAGGUGCCCGUACCGCAAACCGACACAGGUAGUCAAGAUGAGAAUUCUAAGGUGAGCGAGCGAACUCUCGUUAAGGAACUCGGCAAAAUGACCCCGUAACUUCGGGAGAAGGGGUGCUCUUUAGGGUUAACGCCCAGAAGAGCCGCAGUGAAUAGGCCCAAGCGACUGUUUAUCAAAAACACAGGUCUCUGCUAAACCGUAAGGUGAUGUAUAGGGGCUGACGCCUGCCCGGUGCUGGAAGGUUAAGAGGAGUGGUUAGCUUCUGCGAAGCUACGAAUCGAAGCCCCAGUAAACGGCGGCCGUAACUAUAACGGUCCUAAGGUAGCGAAAUUCCUUGUCGGGUAAGUUCCGACCCGCACGAAAGGCGUAACGAUUUGGGCACUGUCUCAACGAGAGACUCGGUGAAAUCAUAGUACCUGUGAAGAUGCAGGUUACCCGCGACAGGACGGAAAGACCCCGUGGAGCUUUACUGUAGCCUGAUAUUGAAAUUCGGCACAGCUUGUACAGGAUAGGUAGGAGCCUUUGAAACGUGAGCGCUAGCUUACGUGGAGGCGCUGGUGGGAUACUACCCUAGCUGUGUUGGCUUUCUAACCCGCACCACUUAUCGUGGUGGGAGACAGUGUCAGGCGGGCAGUUUGACUGGGGCGGUCGCCUCCUAAAAGGUAACGGAGGCGCUCAAAGGUUCCCUCAGAAUGGUUGGAAAUCAUUCAUAGAGUGUAAAGGCAUAAGGGAGCUUGACUGCGAGACCUACAAGUCGAGCAGGGUCGAAAGACGGACUUAGUGAUCCGGUGGUUCCGCAUGGAAGGGCCAUCGCUCAACGGAUAAAAGCUACCCCGGGGAUAACAGGCUUAUCUCCCCCAAGAGUUCACAUCGACGGGGAGGUUUGGCACCUCGAUGUCGGCUCAUCGCAUCCUGGGGCUGUAGUCGGUCCCAAGGGUUGGGCUGUUCGCCCAUUAAAGCGGUACGCGAGCUGGGUUCAGAACGUCGUGAGACAGUUCGGUCCCUAUCCGUCGUGGGCGUAGGAAAUUUGAGAGGAGCUGUCCUUAGUACGAGAGGACCGGGAUGGACAUACCUCUGGUGUACCAGUUGUCGUGCCAACGGCAUAGCUGGGUAGCUAUGUGUGGACGGGAUAAGUGCUGAAAGCAUCUAAGCAUGAAGCCCCCCUCAAGAUGAGAUUUCCCAACUUCGGUUAUAAGAUCCCUCAAAGAUGAUGAGGUUAAUAGGUUCGAGGUGGAAGCAUGGUGACAUGUGGAGCUGACGAAUACUAAUCGAUCGAAGACUUAAUCAA